UGUUAAAAACCGAGUUAAUGCAGAGGCGUCAGUCCAAGACUGUUGUUUUGGCAAUUUUGUUGCCAAACAACUGGUCUGUACGAGGGUAAGUCACAUUCAUAGUGACCUGGGUACAUAUGUAAAUAAUUGGGCUGAAAACUAUUAUUAAUUUAUUGCAUAUAUUUUUUUUUUGCCAAAGCAGGAAAGGCUUUGAAAGAAGAGUCUUUCUUCAAUUCCUGCCAGUUCAUUACAUAUACAUUUUUGUGAGAUCUUUGUUUGGUGGUGUGUCGUGGGGGUUUUCCUGAUGAUAUAUAUGUGCCGUGGCUCAAGAAAUGGUGGAGACGGCCUGAGGUAAAUGAAGUAAAAUUUACAAGGAUUUCCUAUUGGACCAUCAAACAUGACAAGUAUAUCCACCCUGUGAUUUUUAGUGAGCUACUGGUGUAUAAGUGGACAAUGGUGUUCUGUGCAGUAACAUUGCCUUUGUUUUCUCUUUUUUCCCCUGCAGCUACGAUGAAACGCGAAGAAGAAGAAGACUGCUGGGGGAGGGUUAGGAUCAGCUCGUGGGAGCAGACAGACUACGUCAAGCGCCCCCUGUAGUGGAGAAAGGGUACUGAGUCACAAGUUCCUUCAGGGCCUGGAAGAAAUAAAAGUGACAUGAAAGUGAGUCCAUGAAAUGGUGGAGUGGAGAAGAAGAGCUUACUCCGGAGUCGAGGAUGAAGUUGGAAGAUGUUGGGGAUCGACAUUCAUGCUCCCUGCAGCAGGCGUAGAUGUGACUCCUCUGUCCCGUCCUCUCAGCCAGCAUUUUGACCAGGUCCAGACCGAUGCCUCUGUUGGUGCCGGUCACCAAAAUGUUGCCGUCCAGUUCCACCGACAUGUUUGCUGCACCGUGAGCCUCAGCUGCCGUCUGACUGCUCCCUCCCUGUUGCAGUACUGUUACUCCUGACUGACUGCGUGACUUAUAAAUACAAUCCUUUCUAAACGGCUUGCUGCUCUCUAGUGGUCAUCGUUGUGUAUCACACACAGAGGAAUUGGUGGUUGUUCAACAAAUCAGAGCUGCCCAAGCCGGGGUUUAAAACUGUGAGUACCAUGUUGGCUCGACAUCCACACUGGACUGCGCCUCUUGUCCAAAUUCUGAGGACGACACACUCAAGGUGGCGACACGGAGCUUUAGCCACCAGAUGAGAUGUCAGUGUAAAAGUUCAUUGCGGGACUCCAAACUCCCCUGUGUGUCAACGACGACCGUCCACUUCAUCAGUCCAUCGGCCCUUCAUCAGAUGUUUACGUCACGGACAUCUGUGGGUGUGGACGAGAGGUCCUGCCCCUCACCACUGUUCUUAGUUUCCAUAGUAACCGUGUGUUGCUGCCGUGCCUGUCCGAGGCUGGUUUCUAGCAGCGACUCUAUUUGUUCCUGACACGCUCUGAGACAGUCCUGAGGAGAGACAGACCGGGUUAGUGGACAGCUCCCCUCCGGCAGGGACUCACUACCGUGUUUUAACACCAGGAUGUGGAGCCUUUCUGCAGCAGGAGUGAACAAUAAAAUGUGUUGUAUAUCUAGAGAGCUGUGACCUGGGGGCAUGAUCAGCCACUAUACUGCUGCUGGACAGCAGCAAGACAGAUUCACACUGAAGACUGGAAAUCCCCUCUUGUUCACAGAAGGCUGCCAGUAGCCUGGAGGUGAGAGUAGAGUAAAAAUAUAUAUAUAAAAAAAGGAAGGAAGCGAGAGUUCGAAUGCCUGGGAAAGUCUGGGAGGAGUCACAGAUUGGCAUAUCAGGCUUCAUGCAGUGACGUGCAGUCAGGGGAAGCAGUGCCUCACUUGCCAUCAUGAUAAAAAAGUACAUGAACUAAAUAUUGAUAUUUUCUACUGAUCUGUGUUAAAAUGGAUUUUCAGUAUGACUCUACACAUUUUUGAUAAUUUUCAUUAACAUUUUUCAACAUAUGACCAAAAAUAAGGGUUUUGCCAAAGAAAAAAGCUUAAAAAAGGUUUUUCCUAAAACGUUUUCUAA